rnacentral:rRNA from 1 species
GACAGAGGGUGCAAACGUUGUUCGGAAUUACUGGGCGUAAAGCGUGUGUAGGCGGCUUCGCAAGUCGGAUGUGAAAGCCCCGGGCUCAACCCGGGAAGUGCACUCGAUACUGCGAAGCUUGAGUGUCGGAGAGGUUGGUGGAAUUCUCGGUGUAGAGGUGAAAUUCGUAGAUAUCGAGAGGAACACCGGUGGCGAAGGCGGCCAACUGGACGAACACUGACGCUGAGACACGAAAGCGUGGGGAGCAAACAGG